AACGAACGCUGGCGGCAUGCCUAACACAUGCAAGUCGAACGAAGGCUUCGGCCUUAGUGGCGCACGGGUGCGUAACGCGUGGGAAUCUGCCCUUAGGUUCGGAAUAACAGUUAGAAAUGACUGCUAAUACCGGAUGAUGACGUAAGUCCAAAGAUUUAUCGCCUGAGGAUGAGCCCGCGUAGGAUUAGCUAGUUGGUGUGGUAAAGGCGCACCAAGGCGACGAUCCUUAGCUGGUCUGAGAGGAUGAUCAGCCACACUGGGACUGAGACACGGCCCAGACUCCUGCGGGAGGGGGAGGGGGGAGAUAUUGACAAAGGGGCGAAGGCUAAAACCAUCACGGCCGUGUGAGUGUUGAGGGCUUGGGGGUUGAAAAGCUCUUUAACACGGGAUGAUAAGGAGGGGAGCGGAAGAAUAAGCCCCGGCAAACUCCGUG
rnacentral:rRNA from 1 species